rnacentral:rRNA from 2 species
GAGGGGGUGCUAAUACAUGCAAGUCGAGCGAACUGAUUAGAAGCUUGCUUCUAUGACGUUAGCGGCGGACGGGUGAGUAACACGUGGGCAACCUGCCUGUAAGACUGGGAUAACUUCGGGAAACCGAAGCUAAUACCGGAUAGGAUCUUCUCCUUCAUGGGAGAUGAUUGAAAGAUGGUUUCGGCUAUCACUUACAGAUGGGCCCGCGGUGCAUUAGCUAGUUGGUGAGGUAACGGCUCACCAAGGCAACGAUGCAUAGCCGACCUGAGAGGGUGAUCGGCCACACUGGGACUGAGACACGGCCCAGACUCCUACGGGAGGCAGCAGUAGGGAAUCUUCCGCAAUGGACGAAAGUCUGACGGAGCAACGCCGCGUGAGUGAUGAAGGCUUUCGGGUCGUAAAACUCUGUUGUUAGGGAAGAACAAGUACGAGAGUAACUGCUCGUACCUUGACGGUACCUAACCAGAAAGCCACGGCUAACUACGUGCCAGCAGCCGCGGUAAUACGUAGGUGGCAAGCGUUAUCCGGAAUUAUUGGGCGUAAAGCGCGCGCAGGCGGUUUCUUAAGUCUGAUGUGAAAGCCCACGGCUCAACCGUGGAGGGUCAUUGGAAACUGGGGAACUUGAGUGCAGAAGAGAAAAGCGGAAUUCCACGUGUAGCGGUGAAAUGCGUAGAGAUGUGGAGGAACACCAGUGGCGAAGGCGGCUUUUUGGUCUGUAACUGACGCUGAGGCGCGAA